CACGUAGGGCGCAAGCGUUGUCCGGAAUUAUUGGGCGUAAAGAGCUCGUAGGCGGUCUGUUGCGUCCGCUGUGAAAACUCGGGGCUUAACCCCGAGCCUGCAGUGGAUACGGGCAGACUAGAGGUAGGUAGGGGAGAAUGGAAUUCCAGGUGUAGCGGUGAAAUGCGUAGAUAUCUGGAGGAACACCGGUGGCGAAGGCGGCAUCCUGGACCGGCACUGACGCUGAGGAGCGAAAGCCAGGGGAGCAAACGGG
rnacentral:rRNA from 1 species